rnacentral:rRNA from 1 species
AACGAACGCUGGCGGCAUGCCUAACACAUGCAAGUCGAACGAGACCUUCGGGUCUAGUGGCGCACGGGUGCGUAACGCGGGGGAACCUGCCCUUAGGUUCGGAAUAACUCCCCGAAAGGGGUGCUAAUACCGGAUAAUGUCAUCGGACCAAAGAUUUAUCGCCUGUGGAUGGGCCCGCGUUGGAUUAGCUAGUUGGUAGGGUACAAGCCUACCAAGGCGACGAUCCAUAGCUGGUCUGAGAGGAUGAUCAGCCACACUGGGACUGAGACACGGCCCAGACUCCUACGGGAGGCAGCAGUGGGGAAUAUUGGGCAAUGGGCGAAAGCCUGAUCCAGCAAUGCCGCGUGAGUGAUGAAGGCCUUAGGGUUGUACAGCUGUUUUACCCGGGAUGAUAAUGACAGUACCGGGAGAAUAAGCACCGGCUAACUCCGUG